AGACGUCUACAUUAGAUACCCCCUGUAGUCCAGGGUGUAAACGCUGCAGACUUGGUGUUGGAGGCCCUUUGGGGGCAUUCAGUGCCGGAGAGAAGUUGUUAAGUCUGCUACUUGGGGAGUACGUCCGCAAGGAUGAAACUUAAAGGAAUUGGCGGGGGAGCACCGCAACGGGAGGAGCGUGCGGUUUAAUUGGAUUCAACACCGUAAACUCACCAGGGAAGACUGUUACAUGAAGGCCGAGAUGAAGACUCUGCUAGAUUUUCAG
rnacentral:rRNA from 1 species